rnacentral:rRNA from 1 species
GACGAACGCUGGCGGCGUGCUUAACACAUGCAAGUCGAACGGAAAGGCCCUGCUUUUGUGGGGUGCUCGAGUGGCGAACGGGUGAGUAACACGUGAGUAACCUGCCCUUGACUUUGGGAUAACUUCAGGAAACUGGGGCUAAUACCGGAUAGGAGCUCCUGCUGCAUGGUGGGGGUUGGAAAGUUUCGGCGGUUGGGGAUGGACUCGCGGCUUAUCAGCUUGUUGGUGGGGUAGUGGCUUACCAAGGCUUUGACGGGUAGCCGGCCUGAGAGGGUGACCGGCCAAAUGGGGAUGGAGAUACGGCCCAGACCCCUAGGGGAGGGAGAAGGGGGGAAAUUUGCACAAUGGGCGGAAGCCGAAUGCAGCAACGCCGGGGGGGGGAUGACGGCCUUGGGGUUGUAAACCGCUUUCCCCUGGGACGAAGGGUGAGUGACGGUAAUGGGAAAAGAAGCACCGGCUAACUACGU